rnacentral:rRNA from 1 species
AGCAGCCGCGGUAAUUCCAGCUCCAAUAGCGUAUAUUAAAGUUGUUGCAGUUAAAAAGCUCGUAGUUGAAUUUCGGGAUCAAUGGGUCGGUCGUGCCAAUGGUAUGUACUGGCCUCAUUGGUUCUCACCUUCUAAGGAACCAUGAUGUCAUUUAUUUGAUGUUGUGGGAAAUUAGGACUGUUACCUUGAAGAAAUUAGAGUGUUUAAAGCAGGCUAACGCUUGAAUACAUUAGCAUGGAAUAAUGAAAUAGGACAUCCGAUUCUAUUUUGUUGGUUUCUAGGAUCGAUGUAAUGAUUAAUAGGGAUAGUUGGGGGCAUUAGUAUUCAAUUGUCAGAGGUGAAAUCCUUGGAUUUAUUGAAGACUAACUACUGCGAAAGCAUUUGCCAAGGAUGUUUUCAUUAAUCAAGAACGAAAGUUAGGGGAUCGAAGACGAUCAGAUACCGUCGUAG